rnacentral:lncRNA from 1 species
UAACAUCUCCUUAUGGGAACGAUCUUCAUCACCAAGACAAUGUAACGCACGGUCAGUUUGCGUUCACAACUCAAGAGACAGGGAACUACUUGGCUUGUUUCUCGGUUGAUUCAAGUCAUCCGCUACCUAAUCCGUUGACCCUUGGGAUUGAUUGGAAGACUGGUAUCGCCGCCAAAGAUUGGGACUCUGUUGCUAAAAAGGAAAAGAUCGAGGCAAGUUACAUUUACAUUUACAUCUCCUCUCUUUUCUUCUUUGUGAUGUGUUGCUACAUCGUUAUGAAUGUGUAUUGUUUUUUGCAGGGUGUUGAGCUUCAGUUAACGAGACUUGAGGGGUUAGUGCAAGCGAUUCGUGAGAACAUCGAGUAUAUAAAGAACAGGUACGUCUCUACCUCUUUUGUCUCCUACAAAAUAGUGAUAUGUAAAGCAAAUUUUGGAUACAGGGAAGGGGAGAUGCGAGGAGUGAGUGAAGCAACCAACGCAAGAGUGGCUUGGUUCAGUAUAAUGUCACUUGGGGUUUGUCUUUCAGCAGCGGGUGCGCAGAUAUGGUACCAAAAAAAAAAAAAAAAAAAAAAAAAAAAAAAACUGUCCCAUAACUUACACUCGAAAGCUAACAUAAGAGUAGAGAGAAUUACCACAUAUUUAUAUAUUUUGUCCAAAAAUAUCUAUUUUUUCAGUGUAGGGACAAUUGUAAGAAUCAGCAAAUCUUUUAUUUGUAUAUUCAGAUCUAUGAUUUAGUCGGUUUUGAAAAAGUUAAAACUGAGGUGGGGACAUAAAACAUGAUAGAUCCCUACAUACAUUGUAUGUUUCGUAAACAACAAAAAAGACUCGUACAUGGUUGUUCCUCUAGCAAGAAUAAAGAUUUUAUUUUAUUCGAUAUUUGUAUUUUACGUUGUGAUCCUUCGAACUCACGAUCAUAUUAAGAAAACAUGUGUUACAGAAGAAAAAACAAUCGGUCCAUUCAACCAGGCGUAGAAACAAAACAAAUAAUGACAAAUAAUAGAUAGGCGGGAAGGUGGUACAGAAAGCCCAUUUACGAAUUUGAAUGGGCCGAACAAAUAACCGUGGGUCCAAUCCAAAACUUUGUGUUAGUCCACCAAACGGAACCCUCUUAACCAUUCAGAAGGUGCGAUCAGCAUCGAUGACGCGCUACCUCCAUUAAAGACACGCCACGUCAACCAUUAUUCGCAAUCUGAUUGGCUGAUCACACGUUGAAGCAAGUCACCUAAAACACGAAACACCUCCCACUCGCGUCAUUUAAGACACACGCGCGCGUGAACUCUCUCUCUCUCUCUCUCUCUCUGUCUUUGUUUUGGUUUGGUUUUGGAAGGACUUUGACCUUCCCCUUGUGCUUGUUGGACUUGGUCGGGGUAAGAAAAAGAGAAGAAGACCCUCGCUGCUCUCCGAUGGCGAUCAGAGGAAUCUUUACGAUUUCAACGGUGGUGUUGUUUCUGCUGACGGUGAAUCACGGCGAAGCUAUAUGGCUGACGAUUCCGGCGACGGGAGGGACCAAGUGCGUCUCCGAGGAGAUACAGAGCAACGUCGUCGUCAUGGCUGAUUACUACGUCGUCGAUGAGCAGAACCCUGGAAACACACCUGCUGUUUCCGCUAAGGUACGGCUCCGAAUCAAACUUAUGUAUUCGAUUGAGUUCAAAGUUGUGAACUUUAUGUCGGUGGCUUUGGUACUACGGAUCAAUAGUUUUAAAGAUGCAAACUUUUUUUUUUCUUUGGGUCUGAUUGGGGUUUGAGUAGGUAACAUCUCCUUAUGGGAACGAUCUUCAUCACCAAGACAAUGUAACGCACGGUCAGUUUGCGUUCACAACUCAAGAGACAGGGAACUACUUGGCUUGUUUCUCGGUUGAUUCAAGUCAUCCGCUACCUAAUCCGUUGACCCUUGGGAUUGAUUGGAAGACUGGUAUCGCCGCCAAAGAUUGGGACUCUGUUGCUAAAAAGGAAAAGAUCGAGGCAAGUUACAUUUACAUUUACAUCUCCUCUCUUUUCUUCUUUGUGAUGUGUUGCUACAUCGUUAUGAAUGUGUAUUGUUUUUUGCAGGGUGUUGAGCUUCAGUUAACGAGACUUGAGGGGUUAGUGCAAGCGAUUCGUGAGAACAUCGAGUAUAUAAAGAACAGGUACGUCUCUACCUCUUUUGUCUCCUACAAAAUAGUGAUAUGUAAAGCAAAUUUUGGAUACAGGGAAGGGGAGAUGCGAGGAGUGAGUGAAGCAACCAACGCAAGAGUGGCUUGGUUCAGUAUAAUGUCACUUGGGGUUUGUCUUUCAGCAGCGGGUGCGCAGAUAUGGUACCUGAAGCGAUAUUUCCACAAGAAGAAACUCAUCUAAAGACUUUUGGCUUGGAAGGCUACUUUGCUAUAUUUUGUAACAUCACAGAUUCUCCCACCUUUGUAGAGUCAACUUGUUAGUUGUUACAAUCAAAGAACGCAUUUUCAUUUAUAUCUUCUGUGGAACAGGAUAUUGUGUUUUGAUUUAUCUCUGCUGGAGUAGAAUCUCUCUGACUUUCUCUAGGUGUAUGAUUUUCUGCAUUCCACUGUUACAGAUCACAUGUAACUGAUGAGAUUAGGCCUGCGGGUUGGGGUAGUUCGGAAUUCGGAUAGUUCAGUUCAACCAAAAUAUUGUCAAAUUGAUCGAAAACAAUCUGUUUCGGUAUUCGGGUAGUUUGGUUUUAAAAGUUUUACCAAAAUUAACUAGAGUUUUUUUAGUUCGAUUAUCUUUCGGUUAAAUUAAUUUUAAUUAAAUUCAGAUAAUUUCGGCUACUUGGUUUAUUCGGUUAAUUUGGUUCAAAAUUUGGUUUAUUCGGUUAAUUUGUAGAAAAGCUGACCAAGCUGAAAAGCAAUAUUUUUAUAAACAUGCGAAACUGAACCGGAUUCAUAACCAAACUAACCAAAAAUUUCAGUUCAGUUUUUGGUUAGGCAAAUUUGGUUCAGUUCAAAACCACAGGCCUAGAUGAGAUUAAAACUUUCUGUGAGAUACAACUUCAAGAUAAUAAAUAGUUUUUCGGUUUUACUCAUCAAGAAGUCUCUCACAAAUGAGUUUUAAUGCGCGGUAAAAUAAACAAAUUGUUGUUGACCAAUCAACAUGAGAAGACAAAGGAGAUGGAGAUGAGAAACAUGAUAAAGAAGUAGCUAAAAGAGUAGACAGUGGCAGCGGUUGAGAUGCUUCCAGCUGGACCAUUAGCAGGGUUCCCCGGCAAGGAACCACCACCUGGAGGAAUCACAGAUGAUCCUGGCGAAGCUGCUAUUGAACCUGGACCAUCAUAAUCCGGUGAAGGCGCUGGUGCAUACAUUAGAUCCUUAGGAACAGUAUCAGGCGGAGCUAGAAGCGGCGCAAACUGUUGAGGCCCGGGACAUCGUGGCUGUAGAGAUCUAGACAGCAUGGUCAAGAUGGUGCCGUUGGCGAAACCAUUGUAAUCACAAGUCGUCACGUUACAGCCAGCGCUACUCUGCUGGACCGUGAUGUUACCGAGCAUGAGGUUGCUGUUUGUACACUGCAUACUCGAGCAUGAGACGGCUAAAGAAGCAGGCUCACAAUACAAACUGCAUCACACACACACACACCAUAACCAAUUUAACAUUAGCUUGGGAGAAGGAAGGAAGGACGGUAAGGAGAGGAUCUUUGGAUAUUGUUAUUACCUGCGGCUCCCAAGCGCACAGCUGCAUUGCACGCAGUGACCUGCUGCUAGAGCGUAGCUUCCAUUUGGAACUAUCAAUCCGUAAUCCGAAGCAUACUUGGGAAAAUUAGAAGCACAGGCUGUCACAAAGAUGAAGAUACAGAAUCAAUCAUUAAAACAUCACAAAGAUGUAAACUUUUGGCAGCUCAAAACUAACACAACACAAAAUGUAAUCAAACAACACUAAAGGAAACAACCAAAGACUCACAAAGCUACACCAAAAGUAGAAACUAACUCCCAUUAUAUAAACUUCUAAAGAUAAGCACAAGCUGAGACAUGGUGAAGAUACAUAACCAAAAAUUAAAACAACUGUUACCAACAGAGUUUAACAAACAAGAAAACAGCACAAAGAUGCAAACUUUUAGCAGCUCAAAACUCACACCAACGCACAACAAGUAAAGAAAACAACCAAAGACUGACAAAGCCACACUAAAGAUCCCAACUUGGCAACACUACUGACUACAAUUAACAUAUAUAAACUGCUUAUUCAACCUUUGGCAGCUCAAAACUCACAUCAACGCACAACACAAACAAAAAAACAAUUAAAGAAACAACCAAAGAUCCCAACUUUACAACAUUAACCAACAAUAGAAACUACUUCCCAUCAUAUAAACCCAUAAAGACAAGAACUUUAUAGACCAAACCUGACAAGGGAACAGCGAGGAUAUCACCGGAGCUAACAUCAGGAGCCCCCAUAGCAUUCACAUUCAUCAAAUCAGUAACCGUAGUCUCGUACCUCCUCGCUAUCCCCGCCAACGUAUCCACACCCUUCACCACGUACGACAGAUAAACCGCCGGCAGAGAAUUAUCCGUCCCGUUGAAGCAAGCGCACGGCAGAAGAAUAAGACAGGGGAUAGCAGCCACCGACCAUUUGCUCCAAUCUUCAAAGGAGAAUGACGGAGAAAGAAAGACAACAGAGAGAGAAACUACAGAAAACGAAGAAGGCCACGUCAACAAGGAUUCAUUCAUUUUAAUCCUUAAUUAAGGACUGCUCCUUAGCUUAUUUAGGUUUUAUAUUAUUAUUAUUGUAUUGGUAUUUGCUUAGGAUUAUGUGCUAAGGAUUCAUUUAAAUCCUCUGUUGCGGAUGGUCUUAUAACUAAUUUUAUGACAUGCUUUUUUUAUUCACUGAACUAAUUUUGAAGGCUUUAACCUUAUGCGGGCUUAAAUCUGGUAAUUACACUUGUUGCAUUUUUUUUUGUUUCUAAACAAACCUUUUUUAUUUCCUUUUAACAUCUCAACCAAUAUUUGUCUUUUUUUAGUAUUUACUUUUUAAUAUUUUCUUCCGUUUUUAGUAUUUCACUAGAUCAAUAAUUUAGAUUUUAAUUGAUAUUGAUUAUUUUUUCUAUUUUAUUCAGUUUCCGUCGAUUUUAGUUAAAAUUUUACUUUUCUUUGAAUUUAUAUAAUUAAAAUAAAUUCAUAACAAUACAAUAUUUUAUAUAAUAUACAAUUUUAUGUUAAUAGCAUUAAAAUAAUACUUACUAAUUAUACAAAUGCUUUAAUUUUAGUUUUAUUUAUAUAUUUUAGAAUAUGACUUUUUUUUAUCAAACUAAACUUGCAUUAAUUUUAAAUGUGUUUACACUCCAACAAAGGAGGAUACAAAAAAACUAUUAACAGCCAAACAAACAACAAUAUAAAGGAGAGAAUGACGAUACAAAUCACAAGAAGGAGCCAUAUGAAAUCGUACCACAACAACAUCAUAAGCUUCUUUAAAACCGCAUCUAGUGUAACCCGUAAGACAACACACACUGUACCAUACGCAGAGAAGAGCAUUCAAUGGGAAGAAAAUCUUUGCAAUACCAACGAAACUUGUUCAUCCAAUUUACUCCAUAUAAAAUGAAAUAUUAGGAAAAAAGACCGAUUCAAACGAUAUUUUAGAAUAUGACUAAAUUCUAGUAAUUUGUGUAAUAUAAAAUCAUCGGUUUUUGCCCACUAUAUAGAUUUAUUUUGUGGGUUCCGCCUCUAGCUGUAACGCAUUGGAAUAUACUUUUGUGUGUUAUAAACUAUAAUCUACUCGACAGUGAAAUCAGUGACUCGUGAUUAUGAGAUUGGGUAUUUGGUCUUUAAAAAAAAGAGUUUUGGUAUUUGGUCUUUUUUAAAAAUAUUUUCCAGUCUUAAGAACAAAGCAUUUGGUAUCCUGUCUUCAAUUAAUUCGCGGAUCAAAGAUGAGUUGGCCGAGAAAACAGCAAAUAACAACAAAACGUGGGCCCAAACCGGUCCACGUCUCUCUUAUUUUUUUACUUAUCUGAAUUCCGUGUUUCAACCUAGGUUUCGACAUGUUGUUGGAAUAUAUUUUGUGCAUUAUAUAAUUUACUCGUCGUUGAAUACUGACCAACGCCGUUUUAUAUAUGACAAGAAGCCCAUAACAUAACGCAUUAUGCGAACGAACAUCUCGAGUUGUCUCAUACGACGUCCCAAAGAGUUUCACAAUAAGAUCUUCAGAGCAUUGACUUGAGAUACAAGAAAUAAUUAGUCAUCCUUUUUCUUGGUCCUGUUUUGUUUCCAGUUGAAAUCGUCACUUACAUGAGUUUUCUUUGCAUAGAGUGAGCUUUGAAGUAAAGAACUAUGACUUCUGACACAGAGGAAAAGAACAGCAGCGACAUAGUUCCCCCAAGCGGAUCAUUUCGGUCGACCGAUCACAAUCCUGUGAUGGAAAACGUUGGAGGCACGGACGGAUCCAGCGUAUGGGAGAAUCGGGAGAAGAAACGGAACGGGCUGGUGAACCAGAUCAAGCGGUUUGCAGGGAAGCCAGCUCGGUUGAACCGGUCGAAGUCAACGACCGGUCAGGCCUUGAGAGGGCUCAAGUUCAUCAGUAAGGCUGANNNNNNNNNNNNNNNNNNNNNNNNNNNNNNNNNNNNNNNNNNNNNNNNNNNNNNNNNNNNNNNNNNNNNNNNNNNNNNNNNNNNNNNNNNNNNNNNNNNNNNNNNNNNNNNNNNNNNNNNNNNNNNNNNNNNNNNNNNNNNNNNNNNNNNNNNNNNNNNNNNNNNNNNNNNNNNNNNNNNNNNNNNNNNNNNNNNNNNNNNNNNNNNNNNNNNNNNNNNNNNNNNNNNNNNNNNNNNNNNNNNNNNNNNNNNNNNNNNNNNNNNNNNNNNNNNNNNNAAAAAAAAAAAAAAAAAAAAAAAAAAAAAAAACUGUCCCAUAACUUACACUCGAAAGCUAACAUAAGAGUAGAGAGAAUUACCACAUAUUUAUAUAUUUUGUCCAAAAAUAUCUAUUUUUUCAGUGUAGGGACAAUUGUAAGAAUCAGCAAAUCUUUUAUUUGUAUAUUCAGAUCUAUGAUUUAGUCGGUUUUGAAAAAGUUAAAACUGAGGUGGGGACAUAAAACAUGAUAGAUCCCUACAUACAUUGUAUGUUUCGUAAACAACAAAAAAGACUCGUACAUGGUUGUUCCUCUAGCAAGAAUAAAGAUUUUAUUUUAUUCGAUAUUUGUAUUUUACGUUGUGAUCCUUCGAACUCACGAUCAUAUUAAGAAAACAUGUGUUACAGAAGAAAAAACAAUCGGUCCAUUCAACCAGGCGUAGAAACAAAACAAAUAAUGACAAAUAAUAGAUAGGCGGGAAGGUGGUACAGAAAGCCCAUUUACGAAUUUGAAUGGGCCGAACAAAUAACCGUGGGUCCAAUCCAAAACUUUGUGUUAGUCCACCAAACGGAACCCUCUUAACCAUUCAGAAGGUGCGAUCAGCAUCGAUGACGCGCUACCUCCAUUAAAGACACGCCACGUCAACCAUUAUUCGCAAUCUGAUUGGCUGAUCACACGUUGAAGCAAGUCACCUAAAACACGAAACACCUCCCACUCGCGUCAUUUAAGACACACGCGCGCGUGAACUCUCUCUCUCUCUCUCUCUCUCUGUCUUUGUUUUGGUUUGGUUUUGGAAGGACUUUGACCUUCCCCUUGUGCUUGUUGGACUUGGUCGGGGUAAGAAAAAGAGAAGAAGACCCUCGCUGCUCUCCGAUGGCGAUCAGAGGAAUCUUUACGAUUUCAACGGUGGUGUUGUUUCUGCUGACGGUGAAUCACGGCGAAGCUAUAUGGCUGACGAUUCCGGCGACGGGAGGGACCAAGUGCGUCUCCGAGGAGAUACAGAGCAACGUCGUCGUCAUGGCUGAUUACUACGUCGUCGAUGAGCAGAACCCUGGAAACACACCUGCUGUUUCCGCUAAGGUACGGCUCCGAAUCAAACUUAUGUAUUCGAUUGAGUUCAAAGUUGUGAACUUUAUGUCGGUGGCUUUGGUACUACGGAUCAAUAGUUUUAAAGAUGCAAACUUUUUUUUUUCUUUGGGUCUGAUUGGGGUUUGAGUAGGUAACAUCUCCUUAUGGGAACGAUCUUCAUCACCAAGACAAUGUAACGCACGGUCAGUUUGCGUUCACAACUCAAGAGACAGGGAACUACUUGGCUUGUUUCUCGGUUGAUUCAAGUCAUCCGCUACCUAAUCCGUUGACCCUUGGGAUUGAUUGGAAGACUGGUAUCGCCGCCAAAGAUUGGGACUCUGUUGCUAAAAAGGAAAAGAUCGAGGCAAGUUACAUUUACAUUUAC